GGGUUGUGAGGUUAAGCGACUAAGCGUACACGGUGGAUGCCCUGGCAGUCAGAGGCGAUGAAGGACGUGCUAAUCUGCGAUAAGCGUCGGUAAGGUGAUAUGAACCGUUAUAACCGGCGAUUUCCGAAUGGGGAAACCCAGUGUGAUUCGUCACACUAUCAUUAACUGAAUCCAUAGGUUAAUGAGGCGAACCGGGGGAACUGAAACAUCUAAGUACCCCGAGGAAAAGAAAUCAACCGAGAUUCCCCCAGUAGCGGCGAGCGAACGGGGAGCAGCCCAGAGCCUGAAUCAGUGUGUGUGUUAGUGGAAGCGUCUGGAAAGGCGUGCGAUACAGGGUGACAGCCCCGUACACAAAAAUGCACAUAUUGUGAGCUCGAUGAGUAGGGCGGGACACGUGGUAUCCUGUCUGAAUAUGGGGGGACCAUCCUCCAAGGCUAAAUACUCCUGACUGACCGAUAGUGAACCAGUACCGUGAGGGAAAGGCGAAAAGAACCCCGGCGAGGGGAGUGAAAAAGAACCUGAAACCGUGUACGUACAAGCAGUGGGAGCACGCUUAGGCGUGUGACUGCGUACCUUUUGUAUAAUGGGUCAGCGACUUAUAUUCUGUAGCAAGGUUAACCGAAUAGGGGAGCCGAAGGGAAACCGAGUCUUAACUGGGCGUUAAGUUGCAGGGUAUAGACCCGAAACCCGGUGAUCUAGCCAUGGGCAGGUUGAAGGUUGGGUAACACUAACUGGAGGACCGAACCGACUAAUGUUGAAAAAUUAGCGGAUGACUUGUGGCUGGGGGUGAAAGGCCAAUCAAACCGGGAGAUAGCUGGUUCUCCCCGAAAGCUAUUUAGGUAGCGCCUCGUGAAUUCAUCUCCGGGGGUAGAGCACUGUUUCGGCAAGGGGGUCAUCCCGACUUACCAACCCGAUGCAAACUGCGAAUACCGGAGAAUGUUAUCACGGGAGACACACGGCGGGUGCUAACGUCCGUCGUGAAGAGGGAAACAACCCAGACCGCCAGCUAAGGUCCCAAAGUCAUGGUUAAGUGGGAAACGAUGUGGGAAGGCCCAGACAGCCAGGAUGUUGGCUUAGAAGCAGCCAUCAUUUAAAGAAAGCGUAAUAGCUCACUGGUCGAGUCGGCCUGCGCGGAAGAUGUAACGGGGCUAAACCAUGCACCGAAGCUGCGGCAGCGACGCUUAUGCGUUGUUGGGUAGGGGAGCGUUCUGUAAGCCUGUGAAGGUGUACUGUGAGGUAUGCUGGAGGUAUCAGAAGUGCGAAUGCUGACAUAAGUAACGAUAAAGCGGGUGAAAAGCCCGCUCGCCGGAAGACCAAGGGUUCCUGUCCAACGUUAAUCGGGGCAGGGUGAGUCGACCCCUAAGGCGAGGCCGAAAGGCGUAGUCGAUGGGAAACAGGUUAAUAUUCCUGUACUUGGUGUUACUGCGAAGGGGGGACGGAGAAGGCUAUGUUGGCCGGGCGACGGUUGUCCCGGUUUAAGCGUGUAGGCUGGUUUUCCAGGCAAAUCCGGAAAAUCAAGGCUGAGGCGUGAUGACGAGGCACUACGGUGCUGAAGCAACAAAUGCCCUGCUUCCAGGAAAAGCCUCUAAGCAUCAGGUAACAUCAAAUCGUACCCCAAACCGACACAGGUGGUCAGGUAGAGAAUACCAAGGCGCUUGAGAGAACUCGGGUGAAGGAACUAGGCAAAAUGGUGCCGUAACUUCGGGAGAAGG
rnacentral:rRNA from 1 species